rnacentral:rRNA from 1 species
GAUGAACGCUGGCGGCGUGCCUAAUACAUGCAAGUCGAGCGAAUGGAUUAAGAGCUUGCUCUUAUGAAGUUAGCGGCGGACGGGUGAGUAACACGUGGGUAACCUGCCCAUAAGACUGGGAUAACUCCGGGAAACCGGGGCUAAUACCGGAUAACAUUUUGAACCGCAUGGUUCGAAAUUGAAAGGCGGCUUCGGCUGUCACUUAUGGAUGGACCCGCGUCGCAUUAGCUAGUUGGUGAGGUAACGGCUCACCAAGGCAACGAUGCGUAGCCGACCCGAGAGGUGGAUCGGCCACACUGGGACUGGGACACGGCCCAGACUCCUACGGGAGGCAGCAGUAGGGAAUCUUCCGCAAUGGACGAAAGUCUGACGGAGCAACGCCGCGUGAGUGAUGAAGGCUUUCGGGUCGUAGAACUCUGUUGUUAGGGAAGAACAAGUGCUAGUUGAAUAAGCUGGCACCUUGACGGUACCUAACCAGAAAGCCACGGCUAACUACGUGCCAGCCGCCGCAGUAA